rnacentral:tRNA from 3 species
GGGGUGGUAGUUCAGCCCGGUUAGAACGCUGGCCUGUCAAGCCAGAGGUCGCGGGUUCAAUUCCCGUCCACCCCGCCA